AAUAUUUUAGUUGGAUAACUGAGGUAAUUCUUGAGCUAAUACACGCUAUUUAUACCACAUUAGUGGUGCGUUUAUUUGAUUAAACCAUUUUAUAUUGGUUGACUCAAAAUAUCCUCGCUGAUUUUGUUACUAAAACAUACCGUAUGUGUAUCUGGUUUAUCAACUUUCGAUGGUAGGGUAUUGGCCUACCAUGGUUGUGACGGAUAACGGAGAAUUAGGGUUCGACUCCGGAGAGGGAGCCUGAGAAACGGCUACCACAUCCAAGGAAGGCAGCAGGCGCGAAAAUUACCCAAUUUUAGUUAAAAGAGGUAGUGACGAAAAAUGACAACCAAAUAUUAUUAUUAAUAUUUGGAUUGAAAAUCUUCAAGUUUAAAUAACUUGUUGGUAAAGGAAAGGGCAAGUCUGGUGCCAGCAGCCGCGGUAAUACCAGCUUU
rnacentral:rRNA from 1 species